rnacentral:rRNA from 1 species
UAACGGCGAGUGAAGAGGAAAGAGCUCAAAGUUGGAACCUGUUUGGCUUAGCUAAACCGGAUUGUAAACUGUAGAAGUGUUUUCCAGACACGCCUGGUAAAAAAGUCCUUUGGAACAGGGCAUCAUAGAGGGUGAGAAUCCCGUCAUUGGCCAGAGCUGUUGUCUUUUGUGAUACAUUUUCAAAGAGUCAGGUUGUUUGGGAAUGCAGCCUAAAUUGGGUGGUAAAUCUCACCUAAAGCUAAAUAUUUGCGAGAGACCGAUAGCGAACAAGUACCGUGAGGGAAAGAUGAAAAGAACUUUGAAAAGAGAGUUAAACAGUAUGUGAAAUUGUUAAAAGGGAACCGUUUGGAGCCAGACUGGCUUGAUCGUAAUCACUCUAGGCUUUGGCCUGGAUGCACUUGCGGUCUAUGCCGGCCAACGACAGUUUUGUUUGAGGGAAAAAAUUACAUUGAAUGUGGCCCUUCGGGGUGUUAUAGCUUUGUAAAAAAUACCUUGGACGGGACUGAGGAACGCAGCGAAUGCCUUUAGGCGAGAUUGCUGGGUGCUUGCGCUGAUACAUGCUAGAAUUUCUGCUUUGGGUGGUGCUAGUGUGUAAAGGAGUAACCCGCUUAGUAUAUUUUUUAUUCGCUUAGGUUGUUGGCUUAAUGACUCUAAAUGACCCGUCUUGAAACACGGACCAAGGAGUCCACCAUUAGUGCAAGUAUUUGGGUGACAAACCCAUAUGCGCAAGGAAACUGAUUGAUACGAAGGCGCAAGCUGGCAGUAUCACCCGGCGUUGACGUUUUAUACUGAACUGACCGAGGUAAAGCACUAAUGAUGGGACCCGAAAGAUGGUGAACUAUGCCUGAAUAGGGUGAAGCCGGAGGAAACUCCGGUGGAGGCUCGUAGCGAUUCUGACGUGCAAAUCGAU